rnacentral:piRNA from 1 species
UGAGACUUCAUUACAGUGAGACAGUCAUGG